UGGGGAAUCUUGCGCAAUGGGCGAAAGCCUGACGCAGCAACGCCGCGUGUGUGAUGAAGGUCUUCGGAUCGUAAAGCACUGUCGCGAGGGACGAAUAAGCCUUUGGCUAACAUCCAGGGGCGAUGACGGUACCUCGAGAGGAAGCACCGGCUAACUCUGUGCCAGCAGCCGCGGUAAUACAGAGGGUGCGAGCGUUGUUCGGAAUUAUUGGGCGUAAAGCGCGUGUAGGCGGCUUGGCAAGUCGGAUGUGAAAGCCCUCGGCUUAACCGAGGAAGUGCGUUCGAAACUGCCUGGCUUGAGUACCGGAGAGGGUGGCGGAAUUCCCGGUGUAGAGGUGAAAUUCGUAGAUAUCGGGAGGAACACCAGCGGCGAAGGCGGCCACCUGGACGGAUACUGACGCUGAGACGCGAAAGCGUGGGGAGCAAACAGG
rnacentral:rRNA from 2 species